AACCUAUUAUGAGGACACAUUCUCAAAAGGUUCUCAAAUCGCUCCCAUGCAUCAUAUAAUUUCUCAAACUCAAUUUGAGAAAAAGAAGAGAGGACAUUCCUCAACUU
rnacentral:snoRNA from 1 species